rnacentral:rRNA from 1 species
GAUCAAAGGUGGCCUCUACAUGUAAGCUAUUGUUGGGGGAUGAGCCCGCGUACCAUUAGCUUGUUGGUAGGGUAAUGGCCUACCAAGGCUACGAUGGUUAGCUGGUCUGAGAGGAUGAUCAGCCACACUGGAACUGACACACGGUCCAGACUCCUACGGGAGGCAGCAGUGAGGAAUUUUGCGCAAUGGGGGAAACCCUGACGCAGCAACGCCGCGUGAGUGAUGAAGGCUUUCGGGUCGUAAAGCUCUGUCAAGUGGGAAGAAUCCAUAUGGUGUUAAUACCGCCAUAUGCUGACGGUACCACUGAAGGAAGCACCGGCUAACUCCGUGCCAGCAGCCGCGGUAAUACGGGGGGUGCGAGCGUUAUUCGGAAUUACUGGGCGUAAAGAGCGCGUAGGCGGUCUUUUAAGUCAGGUGUGAAAGCCCGGGGCUCAACCCCGGAAGUGCACUUGAAACUAAGAGACUUGAGUAUGGGAGAGGGAAGUGGAAUUCCUGGUGUAGCGGUGAAAUGCGUAGAUAUCAGGAGGAACAUCAGUGGCGAAGGCGACUUCCUGGACCAAUACUGACGCUGAGGCGCGAAGGCGUGGGGAGCAAACAGGAUUAGAUACCCUGGUAGUCCACGCAGUAAACGGUAACAC